rnacentral:rRNA from 1 species
UACGUAGGGUGCGAGCGUUAAUCGGAAUUACUGGGCGUAAAGCGUGCGCAGGCGGUUUUGUAAGCCAGAUGUGAAAGCCCCGGGCUUAACCUGGGAAUGGCAUUUGGGACUGCAAGGCUGGAGUGUGGCAGAGGAGACUGGAAUUCCUGGUGUAGCAGUGAAAUGCGUAGAUAUCAGGAGGAAUACCGAUGGCGAAGGCGGAUCUCUGGGCCUGUCCUGACGCUCAGGCGCGAAAGCUAGGGGAGCAAACAGG